rnacentral:rRNA from 1 species
UACGUAGGGACCAAGCGUUGUUCGGAUUUACUGGGCGUAAAGGGCGUGUAGGCGGCGCGGUAAGUCACUUGUGAAAUCUCUGAGCUUAACUCAGAACGGCCAAGUGAUACUGCAGUGCUAGAGUGUGGAAGGGGCAAUCGGAAUUCUUGGUGUAGCGGUGAAAUGCGUAGAUAUCAAGAGGAACACCUGAGGUGAAGACGGGUUGCUGGGCCAACACUGACGCUGAUGCGCGAAAGCCAGGGGAGCAAACGGG